CAUCAUAAAAGUUUAACUUUUGUCUUAUCAGUCUGCAGAAAAUGUUCCCAAAAAUUUCCUGGGUCAUCAAGAUGUAAAAUAAGAGGAGCCUUGGUGUCCCAUUCAGAAAUACAGAUAUUCUGUUUCCGGUCUUAAAAGGUUGCUGGAGGAAAUAAGUGAACAAACAGCAUCAUGAAGACCAAAGAAUGCAACAAACAGGAUUUGUUGAAUUAUCACGUGAGCUGCAUGUGAUCAACGCUACAGUCAAUUAGACAGAUGAAGAAAAGUUCCAGGUCACGAAGCCCCCUUAACAAGCUCACUCAAGAGACGCAGCCGUCCCUGCCGACAUCCAUCUAUGUCCACAAUCCUAUGUCCACUGGUCUGGAAAAGCUGCUGUGAAUGGAGAUGAUCCAUCAGUCCCCCACCCCAGAACCCCUGUAAAGCUGUACGUUCUGCACAAACAGCUACAUUCCUGUUUGGGGUUAAGUCAGAGAGGAGACUUAUCUUUGAGAUUGCUUUUUCAUGCAGCCUCAGGUCGGUUAUUGCUUGGUAGAGCCAUCAUCAUUAAACCAACAGCCUUGU